CCUACCGGCGGCAGCAGUGAGGAAUAUUGGUCAAUGGACGAGAGUCUGAACCAGCCAAGUAGCGUGAAGGAUGACUGCCCUAUGGGUUUUAAACUUCUUUUAUAUGGGAAUAAAAUGUUCCACGUGUGGGAUUUUGUAUGUACCAUAUGAAUAAGGAUCGGCUAACUCCGUGCCAGCAGCCGCGGUAAUACGGAGGAUCCGAGCGUUAUCCGGAUUUAUUGGGUUUAAAGGGAGCGUAGGUGGAUUGUUAAGUCAGUUGUGAAAGUUUGCGGCUCAACCGUAAAAUUGCAGUUGAAACUGGCAGUCUUGAGUACAGUAGAGGUGGGCGGAAUUCGUGGUGUAGCGGUGAAAUGCUUAGAUAUCACGAAGAACUCCGAUUGCGAAGGCAGCUCACUGGACUGCAACUGACACUGAGGCUCGAAAGUGUGGGUAUCAAACAGGAUUAGAUACCCGAGUAGUC
rnacentral:rRNA from 1 species